AUACGAGCUUUCGAUAAAUCGAGGAUUAAAAACUCCCUAUUGGCAAUGAAUCCAGAAAUUCUAUUGACAAAAUGGGCAUGGAUGAUGGAUCUUAGAAGUGGAACCGGUGAAGUCCUGAUAUUAACCGGUUAUCAUUAUCUUUGUGUUUUUUUAAAUCUAAGAAAGCGGAAGAUCGUAUUUAUAGAUUCCUGUAUGAUAUGGCCGAGGAGGGUAGAAGCCAGUGUAAGAUGCAGGUGCCCAAGAUGAAAUUUGUGGAGAACUUGAGCAGUUGACCCCAUAGAAAGAUGAAAGAUUUGAGAAAAACGAAUUGUCAACAUGAACAAAAAGCAGCCAGUCAUUGGAACCCGUCUGAAAUUUUGACAACGUGAAAGUGUUGGGGUGAACAGAAUGCAGCCCCUCAUUGAAAGUCAUCUGAAUUGGGCUUAUUUUCUUUUGGACUGGUGGCCCUUAAUAGAAGAUCUCAUUAGUUACUGGUUAAAGUGUUAAAGAAGUGGCUCAGCUUUCACUAGAAAUUUGAAAAUAACAAUGUCCCUUUAUUAACUGUACGUAUUGUGUUUUUGCAUCUUAUGUAUAUUUCCUUGUCAUGUAAUAAGUUAAAUCAUAUAUUUUUUUAUUGGAUUGAGGUAUAGUGUGUAUGGUUUUGGUAUAGUACUUCCUUUUUGAUGGAUAAAUGAUAAUUAUUUGUGUUCUGCAAUAAUGUUUUGCAAACUUAAAAAUAAGGACUAAAGGUUCUGUAUGUAAGGCUCGUAAAUCAAUAGCCAGACAAAAUAGGAAGACACACUACAUAUUUAUCUUGCAGUAAUGGUUUCUAUUACAGUAUAAAAACAUUUUAUUUUUGCUAAUGCUUUAUGUCAAUGGGAGUAGACAGUGGUGGAACUAGCUAGAUGAUGGUCAGUGACAGGUUAAACUUUGCUUUACUACUAUAUUUCACCUGUCUGAUAUACACACUUACAAAAAUUUUUCUACAGGUUUGAUAUGUUCUGAUUAGCACAAAAUUUUUUCUACAGGUUUGAUAUGUUCUGAUAUUGCUAUUCUGACAGAGUAUUGGUUAUUCAUCUGGUGGGAUAUCUCUCAAGUUGCAUUUUUAUUGUGAGGUUUAAUCCAUUGAUAUCAAAAUGCAGUGAGCUUUCAGUAGUGUACAGGGGAGGGAGUGGAUGCUGUGUGAGUGAGGAAGAUACGUAUAUAUGUUGAUCUAAUUCAUGUGGAGUAUUUUUCUUUUUUCCAUUGUAUCGAGCUCUGUUAUGGUCAUCUUCUGCUAUAUACUUCUCAAUACACCUUUUCCAUUUUCUUAUUAGUCCUUUUCUACCUUGCGCCAAUUGAAUUGGAUAGUAGUGAUUAAAUCAAACACCAUUCAUAGGUUAGAACUCGUAUAUUGUUUGUUAUGCAUUGUGUAUCGUGGCAAGGUACUGCACUACACAGUUUUGAAUUAAGAAUUAGGUACUGUGUUGUGUGUGUUAUGCUUGGUGUUCAUUUGGCCUUUGGAGGCAAAAAGUCGAGCUACAAGUUCAUGGCCUCCUACUUUCAGGCAUUUAUCUGUUACUUUUGGUUUUUCUUCCCCAUAUCUUAGGGUAUUCUUCAGGUUCUGUUCUUACACCCAUUCUUUUCAUCCUCUUAUUAGUCACACUUGCACCCUUCUGUUUACCUCUUCUCCUUUUACUUUAAAAGUCUUUCUUUUGCAAUUUGCACUAGGUGUAACCAUUCUUAAUCUGUUGUCUCUGGUCUUGAGGACAUAUCUAAAUGAAGACCCCAGUCUGUACUUGAAAAGUUUAAGGUCUUUAAGACACUUUUGUCUCAUUUCAUGCAUUUCUUGAUUCAUUGAUUUAUUCAUUGGUCGUAUUGAUUUUAUUUAAAAGAAAUGUUACCCAUCCUUUUUCAUAGAUCCAUAUGUUGGAGGUUCAGAACAUGGUGUCAUUGUAUAUUGAGAAUCAAAAACUUAAGACUGUUAAACCUUCUAAAAGUUUAGUUAUUUUCUAUAUGAUAUCUGUUUUGGCAUUCUUUCGGGUAAUUAGUGUUAUUUUGGUCUGUCUUUCCUUGUUUGGAAUAUCCCCGUAGGGGGUUAGUACUGUGGGCAUAGCUUGAGGUUCUUUGCAAGGUCCCUUCAGUCCCUCUGCUCAUAUUAUCUUUUUUCCAACUUACUUUUCACACGCUCCUAAUAGCUGUUUCAUAAUGCAACUGCAAGAAUUUCCUCCUGUUUCACUACACAGGUCCCAGCACUAGGCCUUUGGCCUAAAUUCUGUAUUCUAUUCUAUUCUAUUCUUGUUUGGAAUAUUUCUCCCACAUAUAAGGCUACAUCAUCGAUGUUGCUUUGCUGGAAGCUGUGUUUAUGUCUAUUUGGUUGUCACUGUUGCCAUAAAGAAAUCCUUGUGCAAGAAGCCUCGGGUCAAGAUGCAACCUAGACUUUCUAGAAAUAGGGAGGAAAAGGAAGAUUAUUCAGUAGACUGACAUUCUCCUGUAUUGCUUGGUGACUAGAAAGGUACAUUUCCCCAUAAAUCUCCAUCUAGAAAGGAACAGGAAUCAUUACCAAAAUUGAAUGAGGUGAUUGCAGGACUUGUUUUCCUUCAUAUCCUUGGUUCUGAUGCACUAAGAAGGAUAUUUACCUUGUUCCAUUCACUGCAUAUCCUCUCCUGUUAGAAUAAUCAUGGAUGGUUCUCUAUAGUUUACUGUUGUUGUGAGGUACUAUUCAGUAUGGGUUUCCAAGGGUCCAAAAGCGGAUCUUAUUUGCUUUUAUGAAUCCAUUAUCAUAAAAGAGCAGGGCCAUACUCUGUGAACAGUAUCUUAGCUAAAACAACUUGAUAGAUUUUGAAAGGAAAAAAGUUCCACAGAAUAUGCCCAACUCGUGCUAACUUCACGCAUGCACUGAUGCACUGUAGGCAUCUCAUUGGUCUAUUGCUGUAAACUCUCCCAUUUAUUUCACUGUAACCAUUCAUAUUCAUGUUCUUCCAUUAAUUUUCAACUUCUAAUAGGUAAGUGUUUCAUAGUGUAAACAGAGGUUUUCCUCCUGUUACACCUUUCAAAAUUUUUUCUCUCUCUUUCCCUUUCAAUACUGACUGCUGAGUGACCUGGUAGGUCCCAGGAUUUGAUCUUUGGCCUAACUUUUCUGUUCCAUUCCAUUCCCAAUUGCUUGGUGUUUUAGGAGUAUUUGUACCAUCAUCAGGCUUUUGCAUAGUUGUGUUAGCAAGGGUGAUAAAUUUAUGGUUCACUGAAGAAGGCCAUCAAUAGACAAAAUCAAGACUUCCCACUACUUGGCGGAGACCGCAACCACCAUUAACCAUGAUCUUUUCGUAGCUUAAAUUUGUUCUGAGUUUUCAGGCAUUAGUGAAAAUAAGAGGCUUGUCUCAGAGAAACAAAAAAAGAUUAAUCUAUGAGAUAAUUUAAUAUAUACAAGUUUUGUAAGGUUGCCUGUGGUAAAGUGAUUAAUAAAAGUUGAAAGGACUAAAUAAGAGGUUUGUCUCGGUAAAACAAACCAAGAUUAAUUUACAAGGUAAAUUGUCAUUUGGAAGUUCUGUGAUUCUGCCUUUUGCUAAAUUAAUUCUUAUAAAUUGGAAUGGCAAAAUACUAUAAUUAUUAUUGUUCAUAUUUGUAAUUGUUUUUCUUGUGGGUAAAGGGAGGAUUUAAAUAUGCCAAGUAAUAAGGGUCUAAGGUAUGCAAACUGUAGUAGCAAUUGACGCACCUACCACUUGAUGUUUAAAUAAGAGAUGUUGAAUGUGAACCUUGUCUGGUUAUUCUAGAUGUGGUACUCUCGUAAGAUAUCCACCAUGAAAAAUUUAAGUCAGUAUAUUAAUGAUGAUUAAUUCUCUGCAGUCAUGAAAUUUCCGAUAAAGGAGUUCAUUAUGGAAAAAAAAUGUUUUUCACAUGUUUAUUUUGAGUUGAAGAAUUUUUAUUAAUAAAUAUUUUGUCUGCAUUUUUUAAACCCAUAUUAAUUUUUUGUCACUGUAAGGUAUACCAAACAAACUUAGUCAUUUUUUUUAUUUUGAAUUGAGAGAGAGAGAGGCCUAUCUUGUUCCAGAACAAGACUGCAAAUAGAUAGUGGCUGUUUUGAUUUUUAUUUUCAUCUUUUUUUCUUUUCUUUUUUUAAUC